ensembl:lincRNA
CAUGGCUAUUAAGACCUCACUCCCUGCGAAGCAGCCUGGGCUCUGCGAAGCAUGAACUUAAUGGGAAGAGACUGCGACCAGCAUUUAAACCUGCGCAUCCAAGGAUCUCGAACAGUUGUGUACUGUCCCCUGCCAAAUGGACUAGCAUUCUCCAGGGCAAGUUUCUACUGUUCAAUGGUAAUAACAAUAAUAAUGACAAUGUGUGUGCAAAGUCGCUUCCGUCGUGUCAGACUCUUUGCGAUCCUAUUGACUGUAGCCCACCAGGCUCCUCUGUCCAUGGGAUUCUCCAGGCAAGAAUACUGGAGUGUGUUGUCAUAUCCUCUCCCAGGGGAACUUCCCAACCCAGGGAUUGAACACGCGUCUCCUGCAUUGGCAGGCAGGUUCUUUACUACUAGUUCCACCUGGGAAGCCCCAAUAACAACAAUAAUAAGUUAUAGUUUGGUGCUGCUAAGUUGCUAAGUCACUUCAGUCGUGUCCGACUCUGUGCAACCCCACAGACGGCAGCCCACCAGACUCCCCCAUCCCUGGGAUUCUCAAGGCAAGAACACUGGAAUGGGUUGCCAUUUCCUUCUCCAAAUAGUUUACUGCUGCUGCUGCUGCUGCUAAGUCGCUUCAGUUGUGUCCUACUCUGUGCGACCCCAUAGACGGCAGCCUGCCAGGCUCCCCCGUCACUGGGAUUCUCCAGGCAUGAAUACUGGAGUGGGUUGCCAUUUCCUUCUCCAAUGCAUGCAAGUGAAGUCGCUCGGUCAUGUCCGACUCUUAGCUACCCCAUGGACUGUAGCCCCCCAGGCUCCUCCAUCCAUGGGACUUUCCAGGCGAGACUACUGGAGUGGGGUGCCAUUGCCUAGGCACCAACAAGUCAUUGGGUCCUCAUUAGCUUGUUUCUUAUAGUUCUCCCAGCAACCCUGCCAGGUGGGUAUGUUAUCCUUGGAUUCACAAAUGAGGAAUUUGAGGAACAGAGAAGUUCAGCAGUUUGCCCCAGGUCACACAGCGGGCUGGUGACUGAGCUGAAAUUUGAACCCUGGUUUGUCACAAUGGCAAAGUCCAGGCAGCCUCCCCUGCAUACCUGGCCUUGCUUCUGAAGGCUGGCGGGAUUCAAGCCUUUCUGCCGUCCGCCCACAGAGCUUCUCGCCUUGGAUACCACUGUCAGUCACUCCUGGGUAUUGAUGGCUUUCUGCCUUCCCUGGCAAAGCUCGGCUGAGCCCCGCGGCUGAGAUUCAAUUACACAAUCGAAAAGACAAACAAAUUAAAAGAGGAGCAGGGCUCUGUAAACAGCUUCUUUAAUGACUCUGAGGACCAAGCCUGCCUCUCUCUUUUGGCGUGAGCCUCUCCUGGCAUCUUGGGUGUCUGGGGCUUUUCACAGACACAAUAGCUUGUUAGGUCAGCACAGGCAGGCAGGGGCCCUCACGGCCAGAGUGCUUAGUCCUUGGAGUAAUACACACGCUGCUCUAGAAGGACCCUCAGGGCAGCAGUCCCCAACCCUUUUGGCACCAGGGACUGGUUUUGCGAUAGACAUUUUUUCCGUGGACUGGGGUGAGGGGAUGGUUUUGGGAUGAUUCAGGUACAUUACAUUUAUUGUGCACUUUAUUAUUAUUAUAUCAGCUCCACCUCAGAUCAUCAGACAUUAGCUCCUGGAGGUUGGGGACCCCUGCCUUAGGGCAUGUGUUAGAAUCUAGAGAUUCUGAGGACUUGGUGACAUGUCUGGCUUCCUCUCAUGGGGAGUUUGUUAGAAAUACAGAUUCCAGAGCCCCACCAGAGAUGCAUGUUUCAGGGUGGGCAGGAGGGGAGGAGGGGCCCAGGGAUGUGAUGCUAAACAGACCUCCCCAAAGUGGUGCUGAUUUGGCUGGUCCCUGACCACGUGGUGGGGAACCCCAAACUCUUCCUCAUGAGAGCAGAGCUCAAAGUGGGAAAUGACUUGCUCAAAGAGACAAGGUAGGUUAGCAGGAGAGCUGGACACUGCCAGUGCUCCCACCGUGGGUCUAGCUGUCUUACUCUGGAAAUUUAGUCUGUGGCGUCAGAGAUACAAGUAUGCUAGUUUGCUGGGACUGCUAGCAAAGUACCACAGACGAGGUGGCUUCAAAUAGCAGACGUCCAUUCUCAGUUCUGGAGGCUCGAGGUCUGAAACCCAGGCGCCAGUGGAAUCAGGCCUGCUCCCUGAGGACCCUGGGGGCAUCCUCCCAGCCUCUGGCAGCUUCUGCGGCGGUGGGCCGUCUUCACUCUUCCUUGACCUGCAGCUGGCUCACUCUGAUCUCUGCCUCUAGCAUCACGUGGUCUCUUCCCUGUAUGUCAGUGGCCAAUUUCCUCUUCUUACAAGGCCACCAAUCGUUGGAUUUAGGGCCCAUCUUGAUCCAAUAAGACCUCAUCUUAGUUCAUCAUCUCUGCAAAGACCUUUAUUUCCAUUAAGGUCACAUUCUGAGGUUCUGGGUAAAUAUGAAUUUGAUGUGGGGUGGAUGCUAUUUAAUCCACAACACUAAUAAUACACUUGUUCACUCCAACUAUCGAAGUAGCAUGACUUCCCAACCUGGUCUCAAGAGAAAAGCCACCUCCCCUGAGAAGCCCUCCCUCACUACUCCAUCCUCACCGAGGUCCUUUUACCCAAUUAUCCUUCAUCACAGCCUCCUAUGGGCUUCCUUCACAGCAACAUCGCCAUCAUACCUGUCUGCAUCGCCAGACCCAAAACUCCUUGAGAGCAGGAACU